GGUUAAGCGACUAAGCGUACACGGUGGAUGCCCUGGCAGUCAGAGGCGAUGAAGGACGUGCUAAUCUGCGAAAAGCGUCGGUAAGGUGAUAUGAACCGUUAUAACCGGCGAUGUCCGAAUGGGGAAACCCAGUGUGAUUCGUCACACUAUCGUUAACUGAAUACAUAGGUUAACGAGGCGAACCGGGGGAACUGAAACAUCUAAGUACCCCGAGGAAAAGAAAUCAACCGAGAUUCCCCCAGUAGCGGCGAGCGAACGGGGAGCAGCCCAGAGUCUGAAUCAGCUUGUGUGUUAGUGGAACGGUCUGGAAAGUCCGACGGUACAGGGUGAUAGUCCCGUACACCAAAAUGCACAGGCUGUGAACUCGAAGAGUAGGGCGGGACACGUGGUAUCCUGUCUGAAUAUGGGGGGACCAUCCUCCAAGGCUAAAUACUCCUGACUGACCGAUAGUGAACCAGUACCGUGAGGGAAAGGCGAAAAGAACCCCGGCGAGGGGAGUGAAAAAGAACCUGAAACCGUGUACGUACAAGCAGUGGGAGCACCUUCGGGUGUGACUGCGUACCUUUUGUAUAAUGGGUCAGCGACUUAUAUUCUGUAGCAAGGUUAACCGUAUAGGGGAGCCGCAGGGAAACCGAGUCUUAACUGGGCGUUAAGUUGCAGGGUAUAGACCCGAAACCCGGUGAUCUAGCCAUGGGCAGGUUGAAGGUUGGGUAACACUAACUGGAGGACCGAACCGACUAAUGUUGAAAAAUUAGCGGAUGACUUGUGGCUGGGGGUGAAAGGCCAAUCAAACCGGGAGAUAGCUGGUUCUCCCCGAAAGCUAUUUAGGUAGCGCCUCGUGAACUCAUCUUCGGGGGUAGAGCACUGUUUCGGCUAGGGGGUCAUCCCGACUUACCAACCCGAUGCAAACUACGAAUACCGAAGAAUGUUAUCACGGGAGACACACGGCGGGUGCUAACGUCCGUCGUGAAGAGGGAAACAACCCAGACCGCCAGCUAAGGUCCCAAAGUCAUGGUUAAGUGGGAAACGAUGUGGGAAGGCACAGACAGCCAGGAUGUUGGCUUAGAAGCAGCCAUCAUUUAAAGAAAGCGUAAUAGCUCACUGGUCGAGUCGGCCUGCGCGGAAGAUGUAACGGGGCUAAACCAUGCACCGAAGCUGCGGCAGCGACACUAUGUGUUGUUGGGUAGGGGAGCGUUCUGUAAGCCUGCGAAGGUGUGCUGUGAGGCAUGCUGGAGGUAUCAGAAGUGCGAAUGCUGACAUAAGUAACGAUAAAGCGGGUGAAAAGCCCGCUCGCCGGAAGACCAAGGGUUCCUGUCCAACGUUAAUCGGGGCAGGGUGAGUCGACCCCUAAGGCGAGGCCGAAAGGCGUAGUCGAUGGGAAACAGGUUAAUAUUCCUGUACUUGGUGUUACUGCGAAGGGGGGACGGAGAAGGCUAUGUUAGCCGGGCGACGGUUGUCCCGGUUUAAGCAUGUAGGCUGGUUGUCCAGGCAAAUCCGGAUAAUCAAGGCUGAGGUGUGAUGACGAGGCACUACGGUGCUGAAGUAACAAAUGCCCUGCUUCCAGGAAAAGCCUCUAAGCAUCAGGUAACAUUAAAUCGUACCCCAAACCGACACAGGUGGUCAGGUAGAGAAUACCAAGGCGCUUGAGAGAACUCGGGUGAAGGAACUAGGCAAAAUGGUGCCGUAACUUCGGGAGAAGGCACGCUGGUGUGUAGGUGAAGCCCCUGCGGGUGGAGCUGAGACCAGUCGAAGAUACCAGCUGGCUGCAACUGUUUAUUAAAAACACAGCACUGUGCAAACACGAAAGUGGACGUAUACGGUGUGACGCCUGCCCGGUGCCGGAAGGUUAAUUGAUGGGGUUAUCCGUAAGGAGAAGCUCUUGAUCGAAGCCCCGGUAAACGGCGGCCGUAACUAUAACGGUCCUAAGGUAGCGAAAUUCCUUGUCGGGUAAGUUCCGACCUGCACGAAUGGCGUAAUGAUGGCCAGGCUGUCUCCACCCGAGACUCAGUGAAAUUGAACUCGCUGUGAAGAUGCAGUGUACCCGCGGCAAGACGGAAAGACCCCGUGAACCUUUACUAUAGCUUGACACUGAACAUUGAGCCUUGAUGUGUAGGAUAGGUGGGAGGCUUUGAAGCGUGGACGCCAGUCUGCGUGGAGCCAACCUUGAAAUACCACCCUUUAAUGUUUGAUGUUCUAACGUUGGCCCCUGACCGGGGUUGCGGACAGUGUCUGGUGGGUAGUUUGACUGGGGCGGUCUCCUCCCAAAGCGUAACGGAGGAGCACGAAGGUUAGCUAAUCCUGGUCGGACAUCAGGAGGUUAGUGCAAUGGCAUAAGCUAGCUUGACUGCGAGCGUGACGGCGCGAGCAGGUGCGAAAGCAGGUCAUAGUGAUCCGGUGGUUCUGAAUGGAAGGGCCAUCGCUCAACGGAUAAAAGGUACUCCGGGGAUAACAGGCUGAUACCGCCCAAGAGUUCAUAUCGACGGCGGUGUUUGGCACCUCGAUGUCGGCUCAUCACAUCCUGGGGCUGAAGUAGGUCCCAAGGGUAUGGCUGUUCGCCAUUUAAAGUGGUACGCGAGCUGGGUUUAGAACGUCGUGAGACAGUUCGGUCCCUAUCUGCCGUGGGCGCUGGAGAAUUGAGGGGGGCUGCUCCUAGUACGAGAGGACCGGAGUGGACGCAUCACUGGUGUUCGGGUUGUCAUGCCAAUGGCACUGCCCGGUAGCUAAAUGCGGAAGAGAUAAGUGCUGAAAGCAUCUAAGCACGAAACUUGCCCCGAGAUGAGUUCUCCCUGAGACUUUAAGUCUCCUGAAGGAACGUUAAAGACGAUGACGUUGAUAGGCCGGGUGUGUAAGCGCAGCGAUGCGUUGAGCUAACCGGUACUAAUGAACCGUGAGGCUUAACCUU
rnacentral:rRNA from 1 species